UUUAUAGAACAAGGAAAUGAGUAGAUAGAGAAAGGAAAAAAGAAAGGGAAAAGGAAAAGAAAGGAUAGGAGUAUGUGAUAUGUAUGUCAUGUGUCAUGUGUUUGUCUUGUGUAUAGUUGUAUAUCAUGUGUAUGUCUUGUUGGAUUUAUUUGAAAAGAAAGGAAAAGGAAAAGUUGGAAUUAUUUGAAUUAAGUUGCAUUUAGUUGAAUUAAGUUGGAAUUAUUUGAAUUAAGUUGGAUUUAAUUGAAUUAAGUUGGAAUUAUUUGAAUUAGCUAGGUUUAUUUGAAUUAAUUUGGAAUUAUUUGAAUUAAGUUAGAUUUAUUUGAAUUAGCUAGGUUUAUUUUAAUUGAUUUGGAAUUAUUUGAAUUAGCUAUAUUCUUCUUCUUCUUCAUAAACCGAAAAAUAUGAAUAUUAUUCAUCCACUAAUUACUCCAAAUUUAGAACUGAAUAAACACUUGUCAUCUUCAGUAAACACUUGUAAAUCUAGAGUUGUUAUAAAUCCGGAUAAACACUUGUCAUGUCUGAAUCUGAGGGACUAUGUUUUUUCUUUUUCUACUUAAAUGGUGAUCUCUUGAUAAAAGCUGACUUUAAUUUCACCCCGCACGACAAUCUAGAUAAUUGUGUAAGAUCAAGAAUAGUUACUGUUCUCACUCCAACAUUUUUAGUCUCUUUUAGAGAAAACAUUUUCAGUCUAUAUGGGUAAAUGAGAGCACAUUGCUACUACAAGUGAUACAGUGUGGAAAGGAAAACAAUCAAACAUGAAACAUAAAUAACCAUGAGAGUGUGCAGUGCAGUCAACUGCCAAUUGGUUUCUAAUUACUCCAUAGUGAAUAACUUAGAAUGCAACAAGUACUAAUGUCCUUUUCGGCAACAAGUAGAACGUCUCAAAUCUUUUACCAGGCUAUCCACCAUCUACACAGCAAGAUUCACAAAGACAUGCACGCUUCAAUAGACUUGUGGAUGCUAGCAAAGUGAUAAAAACUUGGAUGUUUUCAGAAAUAUAGCACCAGAGGACAUUAAGUACUCCAUUCACGAAACCUUUAAAUAUAGCAUCACAAGCCGCAUAGGUUGAUGAACUGGCAUGUAUGCUAAAGGCAAGGAAAUGCCACCUUCUUUUCUUCUUCUAGCAGUUCAUGAACUGGCCUGUGUGCUGCAGCUAUGUAUAGGUUCUGCAGAAAAUGCACCAAACAAGUUACACACAGGUGAAGUAAGUGGACAACAACAUUUAAUCUCCAGUUCUUUUCUUUUGGUAGUGAAAUUCAAUCUCAAUUUCGUAAGCAAAGAAGCAAUGUAGUGACUGUACUCCAAGUUAAAUUCAGUCAAUGUGUACAUAAAGUAGUGAUUUUUUCACCAACUGAAAUCAAUUAUCACCAAUACUGUUCAUACUAAAUUUAUACUAUAUGUUUAUCUAGUGUACGUUCACCAAUACUGAAAGCAUACAAAGUGCAAGGCUAACUGAAUCUAUACUGUAUGUUCAUCUACUGUAUGUUCACCAAUGCUGAAAGCAUACAAAGUGCAAGGCUAACUGAAUUUAUACUGUAUCUUCAUCUCAAGUACUCCAUGGCCAACUAAAUUUUGUCAGUACUGUACUCGUACUCGUAAUACUCCAUGGCUCACCUGCACCAAUGGAAGCAGCAUCCAUUCCUCUGCAAUACUCCAUUCCUCCUCCAAUCGCUGCACAAAGUCAGCUCACCUGCUUGCUUCAACAGACAGACAUCACCUAUAAUUUCAGAAGACAGACCUGCGUUGUGGGCAAGCAGGGUAAAGAAGCAGAAGCGGCAGCAUCGGCGCCGAUGGAGCCAAGAGUGUAUGUCCUCCAUCAUAAGCCCGCCAGUUCGAGGAGAAAGACGAGCACAGGGCAGUGGCAUGUGGCUGGAGCAAGUCUUCCCCAUGCCCUAGUCGUGUUUCCCACGCCGCGGCCGCCGAAGCUCGAGGUCUGGAGGAGGUGCUCGAUGAUGAGGAGCGGGUCAUCGAGCGUUGUCAGUAGAGCCGGCAAGGCACGGGCUUUGCAGAAAAGGGGAUCCCUUCCUCCUUGAUCUCCUAGUGAGGAUGGAGAGAAGAAGUAAGAUGAGGGAGAGAAGGCGGCCAAUGUGCGGCGGGGCGACAGAGUAGGUGGCGAGGUGGUAGAGUAUGCGGCGAGGCAACGGAGCAG
rnacentral:lncRNA from 1 species